CUAAGUUGGUUUUCGUAAUUAAUAAAAAUAUAUGUGUCAUUGAACUAAUGAUCUUAGCCAAUUAUAUUUCAAAAAAAUGCAAACAUGUAUUGGCUAAGGAUUGUGAGGAGAACCCCUUCAUACAAGGAAAGGAAUAGGAUUGGCCAAACUUCAAGCUAUAAGAGUCCACAUUUUAUAUUUGUGAGGAAUCACAUUUGAG
rnacentral:lncRNA from 1 species